rnacentral:rRNA from 1 species
UACGAAGGGGGCGAGCGUUGUUCGGAAUUACUGGGCGUAAAGGGCGCGCAGGCGGCCUUAGAAGUCAGAUGUGAAAGCCCCGGGCUCAACCUGGGAAUGGCAUUUGAUACUCUGAGGCUGGAGUACGGGAGAGGAGAGUGGAAUUCCCAGUGUAGAGGUGAAAUUCGUAGAUAUUGGGAAGAACACCGGUGGCGAAGGCGGCUCUCUGGACCGUAACUGACGCUGAGGCGCGAAAAGCGUGGGGAGCAAACAGGG